rnacentral:rRNA from 1 species
UACGUAGGGACCAAGCGUUGUUCGGAUUUACUGGGCGUAAAGGGCGCGUAGGCGGCAUUUCAAGUCAUCUGUGAAAUCUCCGGGCUUAACCCGGAACGGUCAGGUGAUACUGUUUUGCUAGAGUGCGGAAGGGGCAAUCGGAAUUCUCGGUGUAGCGGUGAAAUGCGUAGAUAUCGAGAGGAACACCAGAGGUGAAGACGGGUUGCUGGGCCGACACUGACGCUGACAGCGCGAAAGCCAGGGGAGCAAACGGG